rnacentral:rRNA from 1 species
GUCGAGAAUCUUUCACAAUGGGGGCAACCCUGAUGGAGCGACGCCGCGUGGAGGAUAAGGUCUUCGGAUUGUAAACUCCUGUCAUGCGUGAACAAGGUUGCUUGGUUAAUACCUGGGCAAAUUGAUGGUAACGCAAGAGGAAGAGACGGCUAACUCUGUGCCAGCAGCCGCGGUAAUACAGAGGUCUCAAGCGUUGUUCGGAAUCACUGGGCGUAAAGGGUGCGUAGGUGGCGUGGUAAGUCAGAUGUGAAAGCCCGGGGCUCAACCUCGGAACUGCAUCCGAUACUGCCAUGCUAGAGUACUGGAGAGGUGAAUAGAAUUCUCGGUGUAGCAGUGAAAUGCGUAGAUAUCGAGAGGAAUACCAAAGGCGUAGGCAGGUCACUGGACAGUUACUGACACUGAGGCACGAAGGCCAGGGGAGCGAACGGGAUUAGAAACCCGGGUAGUCC